UCGAGGGCUUUACUGUCUCUUACUUCCAAUCCGUGAAAUUGACCUUCCCGUGAAGAGGCGGGAAUAUGACAAUAAGACGAGAAGACCCUAUGGAGCUUUAAUUAACCGACCCAAAGAGAUCUUGAUAAUCAACCGACAGGGAUAACAUACCUCUACCAUGGGCCGACAAUUUAGGUUGGGGUGACCUCGGAGAAUAAAACAACCUCCGAGUGAUUUAAAUCUAGACUAACUAGUCGAAAGUACUACAUCACUUAUUGAUCCAAAAACUUGAUCAACGGAACAAGUUACCCUAGGGAUAACAGCGCAAUCCUAUUUUAGAGUCCAUAUCGACAAUAGGAUUGCGC
rnacentral:rRNA from 1 species